CCUACGGGAGGCAGCAGUCGAGAAUCAUUCACAAUGGGGGAAACCCUGAUGGUGCGACGCCGCGUGGGGGAAUGAAGGUCUUCGGAUUGUAAACCCCUGUCAUGUGGGAGCAAAUUAAAAAGAUAGUACCACAAGAGGAAGCGACGGUUAACUCUGUGCCAGCAGCCGCGGUAAUACAGAGAUCUCAAGCGUUGUUCGGAAUCACUGGGCGUAAAGCGUGCGUAGGCGGUUUCGUAAGUCGUGUGUGAAAGGCGCGGGCUCAAGCCGCGGACGGCACAUGAUACUGCGAGACUGGAGUGAGGGAGGGGGAGCCGGAAUUCUCGGUGUAGCAGUGAAAUGCGUAGAUAUCGAGAGGAACACUCGUGGCGAAGGCGGGUUCCUGGACAGUAACUGACGCUGAGGCACGAAGGCCAGGGGAGCGAAAGGGAUUAGAUACCCGUGUAGUC
rnacentral:rRNA from 1 species